rnacentral:snRNA from 1 species
GGAGCCUGAGGAAGAAAAAAAAAUACUGUCUUAUCAGUUUAUAUCUGAUAGUCCCCUACCGGGGACUACAUAUUAAAUUGAUUUUUGGAUCACGGAGCUGGAGCCGGGGCCUUGCUCUGUCCACUCCACGCAUCGGCCUGGUAUUGCAGUGUUUCCAGGAACGGUGUGCUUCCC